rnacentral:rRNA from 1 species
UACGAAGGGUGCAAACGUUGCUCGGAAUUACUGGGCGUAAAGGGCUCGUAGGCGGCCAACUAAGUCAGACGUGAAAUCCCCCAGGCUUAACCUGGGAACUGCAUCCGAUACUGGAUGGCUUGAAUCCGGGAGAGGGAUGCAGAAUUCCAGGUGUAGCGGUGAAAUGCGUAGAUAUCUGGAGGAAUACCGGUGGCGAAGGCGGCAUCCUGGACCGGCAUUGACGCUGAGUGAGCGAAAGCCAGGGGAGCAAAGCGGG